CAAACUUUACGUGCUUGUUGUUUUCUGUGAAAAAAAGUUUAAUCAAUAUGAAAAUGGAAAUUCCUUGCAAAGAUUUGAACUAACAAUUGUGUUUGUGUUUUGUGGAGUAUAGCUUAUUAAUAGCAUUGACUUGCAAAAGAAGACAUAUGUGUUUGGUCACGGGGCUCUUCUUGCAGUUUGGGAAAGCAACAAACGCUCGCGAGAAGCAUUGGAGACUUACAUAUUCGACAAAUUGAAUGCCGAUCAUCAAAAUGAAACAAUAAUAAAAACAAUAUCAACUAAAAUUACUAACUUUAUUAAUUACAUAAAUAAACAUUUGCCUCGAUGCUGCCGAAACAUAAAGCGAUUUAGACAAAAACACGCUAUGUGGCUAGCCGGUAAUAUGACUAUACUUUCUGAUAGAAAUGAAUCCCCACAGAAGAAAGGUGGUCGUCCAAAAUUGUCAUAUGAUCAUGCCAGAAAAUGCAGCCGGGUUGACAAUAUGUCAGAUGUUUUUCACAGAGCUAUGGAUUCGUCUGAUCCCCUUUUAUCUAGUUUUUGCUCAACAAAAACCAACCGGAUGCCUCUGCCAGCAGAGGUUGUAGAUCUUUUGGAUUCGCCAAUCAUAUCCCCAGGCACAGAAGACACAGAUGAAGAAAAUUGUAGCGAUGAUGUAAGUGACACUUUUGAAAUAGAAUUAGAGGAAGAGGUACCAGACGAUAUUGAAAACUAAAAAACGAGGAAAAAAUAAAAAGAUGUUCUUCAAAUGUAACAAUGGAUCCCAAAUAUGUUACCGGUUUUUUUCUAUAAUGUAACACCAAAUAGGAUUAAAAUUAUAAUAUAUAAUAAUUACUUAUUU